UACGUAGGGUCCGAGCGUUGUCCGGAGUUACUGGGCGUAAAGCGCGCGCAGGCGGCGGUGUUGGCCCGGCGUGAAAGCCCCCGGCUCAACCGGGGAGGGUCGUCGAGGACCGCACCGCUUGAGGGCGGUAGGGGCUGGUGGAAUGCCUGGUGUAGUGGUGAAAUGCGUAGAGAUCAGGCGGAACACCCGUGGCGAAGGCGGCCAGCUGGGCCGUCCCUGACGCUGAGGCGCGAAGGCGUGGGGAGCGAACGGG
rnacentral:rRNA from 1 species